GAUGAACGCUGGCGGCGUGCCUAAUACAUGCAAGUCGAGCGAACAGACGAGGAGCUUGCUCCUCUGACGUUAGCGGCGGACGGGUGAGUAACACGUGGAUAACCUACCUAUAAGACUGGGAUAACUUCGGGAAACCGGAGCUAAUACCGGAUAAUAUAUUGAACCGCAUGGUUCAAUAGUGAAAGACGGUUUUGCUGUCACUUAUAGAUGGAUCCGCACCGCAUUAGCUAGUUGGUAAGGUAACGGCUUACCAAGGCAACGAUGCGUAGCCGACCUGAGAGGGUGAUCGGCCACACUGGAACUGAGACACGGUCCAGACUCCUACGGGAGGCAGCAGUAGGGAAUCUUCUGCAAUGGGCGAAAGCUUGACGGAGCAACGCCGCGUGAGUGAUGAAGGUCUUCGGAUCGUAAAACUCUGUUAUUAGGGAAGAACAAAUGUGUAAGUAACUAUGCACGUCUUGACGGUACCUAAUCAGAAAGCCACGGCUAACUACGUG
rnacentral:rRNA from 1 species